rnacentral:other from 1 species
ACACCCCUGCGCUACUUGUGAUUGCUUAGAGUGCUUUGCCUAACGCUAUAUACAAGGGAGCCCACCCUGGUGCCGGUGUGCAAGUUCCACAUUGCAUGGAAAAGCCUGAAGGUGCUAAUUAUAUGGGCGCCCGACCUUUUGAACUACUGGUUCAAAGACAUGGGCAACACGGUAUGCUGUGGGGGCUGU